GUAACAAGGUUUCCGUAGGUGAACCUGCGGAAGGAUCAUUACUGGUAGUUUUUUUAGUACGAGGAAAAAUUUCUCUCGGCUAGAAAAAUAUCUUAUCCUGUGCAAUGAACUUGUCGCCUGGGGUUUGAAUAUAGUCUCUGAAAUUCUUUUUCAUUGCUGACCCCAAUAGGCAUCCUUUCAAUACUUUUUGGUAUUAAAACACAAUUGUAUUUUAUAACUGAAUUUUAUAUCUUUGCUAUAAAGAUUAUAACCAAAUGGGCUUUUUUGGCUUGUUUGAAAAAACAACUUUCAGCAAUGGAUCUCUUGGUUCUCGCAUCGAUGAAGAACGUAGCAAACUGCGAUAAGUAGUGUGAAUUGCAUUCAGUGAAUCAUCGAAUCUUUGAACGCACCUUGCACUCACUGGUAUUCCGGUGAGUACGCCUGUUUCAGUAUCAUUGAAAACCCACAACCCAACAAUUUUUGUUUGGUUGGACUUGGGCUAUUCGUUUGGUAGUCAGUUCUAGUAUAUUUUUUUAUACCAGAAUGCAGACAAGCCAAGCAGCCUGGAAUUCUCUGUCGGUCAAUUGUAUCGUAGUAAUCAUUAUACAAGACCUGAGCUUUAUAAACGAACUGGGCUUCUUUGAUUUGACCAGUUUUAGCUYUAGUCAUUGGGAUUACGGUAAAUCGAUCUUGGCUCCAAGUCUGGUCUAGUCAAACCUCGGUUUUUCUAGUCAAACCAAAUCAUUUUUCUCAGUAUCGAUCUGAAAUCAGGUGGGACUACCCGCUGAACUUAAGCAUAUCAAUAAGC
rnacentral:rRNA from 1 species